CCGGGCCGCUCCGCUAGGUGCUGCUGCCGCGGCCGCCAGGGAGGGAGGCGCCGGAGGGCGGGCCCCACGCGGUGCUAGGGUUCGGUCUGGACUGGCGGUGGUGGGUCCGGACCGGCGGUGCCGGGUUCUGUCCCGACCAACGGUGCUAGGUUCGGUUCGGAUGCGCGCUGCUGGAUCUAAAUGGGCGGUGCUGGGUCCGACGGAAGGUGCUGUGUUCAGUCCGGACGCGCGGUGCUGUGUCUGGACGGGCGGUGCUGGAUCCAACUGGGCGUUGCUGGAUCUGCACUGGCGGUGAUGGGUCCGAUGGGCGGUGCUACAUUGGGUUCGGACGGGCGAUGCUGGGUCCGAUAGGCGGUGCUGAGUUCGGUCCGGACGGGCGGGGACGGGCGGUGCUGGGUCCAAAUGGGUGGUGAUGGAUCUGGACGGGCGGUGCUGGGUCCGAUGGGCGGUGCUGGGUCCGAUGGGCGGUGCUAGGUUCGGUUCGGAUGGGUGGUGCUGGGUCUAAAUGGGCGGCGCCGGGUCCGAUGGGCGGUGCUGGGUUCCGUCCGGACUGGCGGGUCUGGGUCUGGACGGGCGGUGCUGGGUCCGAACAGGCGAUGGGUCCGAUGGACUGUGUUAGAUUCGGUUCGGACUGGCAGUGCAGAGUCUAAAUGGGCGGCGCUGGGUCCGAUGGGCGGUACUGGGUUCGGUCCGGACGGGCGGGUCUGGGUCUGGACGUGUGGUGCUGUAUCCAAGUGGGCGGUGCUGGUUCCGGACUGGCUGUGCUAGGUUAGGUCCCGACGGGUGGUGCAGGGUCUAAAUGGGCGGUGCUGGGCACAGCAGGGGACAGGUGGGCGUGGCGGCACAGGUACGGAGCGCAGUGCGGGUGCGGCGCCCUCCGAAGGGCCUUGCGCUCCCCGCGCUCGCUGCUCCUCCAACCUGCGCAUUGCCCCGGGGCUGCUGCGUGUUUCUUCCAGGGUGAUUCCUUUCUGCUGGGGUCACUUCGAAGCUGACCUUUUCAAGCUGUUUUCUUCCGAGGAGGAUACCUUAUUAGGCUUUGUGUGCAUUUCAAGUGUCAUGUUUUUCGGACCGCGCCCCGCUGCUCCCGGGGUGUUCGAGCCCCCACACUGCCGUGCGGUGUUCCUCUCGCUGAGUGAGGUUGGAGGUUCCCACUGCCUUUGUGUGUCUCCUUAGAAAACGCCUCUUCUCUCAGACACAUUGUUAUCUGCAAAUCCUUCGCAGAUGUAGAGAACGGACUGCAGAGUUAAUAAACGUCGAAGGGAAGCUUUGAUGCGCCCCUGUUGGCCCUGAGAGAUGCCGCGUGAGCGUCAUUUUAAAUCCUGUACCUGUACGUGGACGUGGAAACCUGAAAUUAAUUUCAGUAGCAAGCGUUGUGAAUUGUAGGGCUUUUUUUUAUUAGGUGUCUUUUUUGUAACUGCUCCUCCCCUCCCCCACCCUUUGUUUUGGCUGCGGAACCCAUCCCAGCAGUCUCCCCAUGCAGUAUUCAGUCAGGCGAAGUUGCGUUCUUACAUUGUCUGUGAUGUGUAACAAAAAAGCGUUUAUCUUUGAAACACUAAGGCAAGUAAUGAGAAGAGUGAACUAUAUUUGACAAAGCCUUUUUAUUUUUGUCAUUACUUUUUUUUCCAGUGUGGAAAUAAUUUUUCUCUCCACCAACUGGAUUUUCUCUUUUGUAGACAAUUAGAGAAUUCUGUCAUCCUCACUGGGUUCUGUCUUUUCUACUGCACUUGUCCAGUACAGCUACAUAAGGAGGCUUCUCAGCAGAGGAGCCUGGGGUGUUGAACCAGUGCCAUGGGGGAAUGAAUUAUGCAAUAGAUCGCUAGUCUCCUUUCUUAAAAUUAAAGUGUGGUACGUGCAGAAAAGUAUCUGUGUCUAAAUGGCAUCUUCAUGUUGUAGCACUCGGUUUCUUUAUGCCUUUCAGUCCCUGUGCUUCUUGAUAGACUCGAGUUUUUACUGUGUGAGCAUCCCCGUGCCCGCACAGCGAAGGCCUCUCACUGGGUUCUACACGUGCUGCACAGAUCCCUGGCACAGCCUUAACUGAACCUCAACUGCAGGAGCUUCAUUCCCGAGGAUGCUGUUACCAAGAGUGACUUGCCUCUUGAAGAAUGAGUUUGCAAAGCUGGCAGUUAGAUUGCUGAUGUCCAAAGUAAGUAUGUGUAGCAUCGCUAAAGAGAAAAUUCAGGAUUCCUGGAAAACAGUUAUGGGCUCUCUGCGGUGUUAUUUUUGUAAUAAAAAACAUGUAGCGUAUGUGAAAUACCUACUGAGUGAUGCAGGACACAUAGAAGGCUCUAAAUUAAUGUGAAUUAUUCUCGUUUUUCUGACUGUCAUUAAAAGUCCCCAUUUGUAUUAUG